UAUAGAGGGUGCAAGCGUUAAUCGGAAUUACUGGGCGUAAAGCGUGCGUAGGCGGCCUUCUAAGUCGAACGUGAAAUCCCCGGGCUCAACCCGGGAACUGCGUCCGAUACUGGAAGGCUUGAAUCCGGGAGAGGGAUGCGGAAUUCCAGGUGUAGCGGUGAAAUGCGUAGAUAUCUGGAGGAACACCGGUGGCGAAGGCGGCAUCCUGGACCGGUAUUGACGCUGAGGCGCGAAAGCCAGGGGAGCAAACGGG
rnacentral:rRNA from 1 species